UUCUCUCCCCUAUCCCUUUCGUCAUCCCUCCCCCUACUCUGAUUCUCUCCUUCUUCCUCAUUGUCCUUUUCCCUCUACUAACCCACCCACCCUUCAAGCCCCUUGAUUUUGUCAUUUUCUUCCCAACCAAAAAUCUCAAUCUCAACCUCCAAGCAAAAUCCCAUCAAAGACCCAUUUUUGAAGAAUGAGCAGUAGAGUAGUUUCAGCAAGCAAAGCCUAGAUUGUGGUAGCCACAAUUGCCUUUGCUCUAUUCCUCUUCUCGCGCCACUACUAGUAAGUUUCUCUCCUUCUCUCAUUAUAUUAUUUUUUUGCUUAUCAAAAUGAUAGCUUUAACAAAUUUGGCAGAAAAAACAAUGACAGAAGUGACCUCCACAGCCUCGCAGGUAAACAAAAAUCCAUUUUAAAAACUGAAAAAAAAAGGCCUUUCUUUCACAUGAAAAUUUGAAAACCAUAGCUUUCUUCAAAUUUUGACAAAUAUGGUAAAGUUAACCCUUUUUUUGUUUUGAGACAAAAUGGAAUUCCUGAGCUUAACAUAGUUAGAGGAUUUUGUCAGGUUUCUAAGAUAUUAUUUUAUUCUCCAAUUCAAUUCAAAGGGAUCGUAGAGAAAGUAAAGCAAAUGGGGUUCAGUCCUGAGAGGUUUACUUUUAGUUUAACUGUUAUUGUUUUGGGUUCAAUGAGAAAAUCCACUUGGGAGACAAAGAUUGAUGUUUAUAAGAAAUAUGGUUGGUUUGAGGAAGAGGUUUUAUAUGCUUUUAAGAAUCAUCCCUCAAUAAUGGCAGCUUCUGAGGGUAGAAUUAAAACAUUUAUGGAUUUUUUGUGAAUGUAAUGGGAUUCAAGGCUUCAUUUGUUGCUAAAAAAGUUUAUUUUCCAGGAUUGAGCAUGGAGAAGAGGCUGUAAACAAUUAUAAAGCAGAAGGAAAGGGACUGUAAACUAUUGUUGAUUUAUGAGAGGGUUAGAGGGAAAGGGACGGUGGGAGAGAGGUAGAGAAGAGGAGUAAGGUGAGGGAUGGUGGGAAAGAGGGAGAGAGUCGGAGUAGGGGGUGGGACUGUGGAAAGGAGAGAAUCGAAGUAGGGGAGGAAUGGUGGGGAAGAAGGAAAGGGAUGGGAGAAUAGUGGUAGGGGGAGUGAGAUGGGAAGGGAGGGGUAGAGAAAGAUGUAAAAUGGCAGCUCCAUUGUGUCUGUAACGGAAAAUAGCAUAUUUUUUAUGUCUGUAACGAGAAAAUGUUUAGUAGUGACUAAUUUGUUAUUUUUUGAAAUUUUAGUGAUUGAGUUGAAAGUUGAGUGACUGUUUUGUCAUUGAGAUCUAGUUGAGUGACUGUUGGUGUACUUUAUCCUUAGAUUAAAGUGCAAUACAUAAGAUGCCCUUGAGUCUUCUAACAAUAAGUGAUAAAUACAACUAGGUAGAUUAGAACACAUACAUAAUAACUCAUUAAAUGAGGCUACACUAUAAGAAACAUAAGGUUGAUAACUAUUUCUCAAACGGGUCAACGCAUCUGCACAUUUGUUCCCUUCCUUGAAAAAUGUGCAUCAUAGAGCUAGAACUCAUAGAAUGGACGAGCAUCCUGCACUUAACAAUUAAAUGAGAUAAUAAUAAGUUAGAGUGUGAAGGGGCUUUCAUGAAAUGUAACAUAGAUGUAGUGUCAACUUCAAUCUCAAGAUUUUCAAUGUUAUGGUCUUUAGGUAAUAUUAGUCCAUCUCGUAGUGCCCAAAGUUCUGGUUCUACACUAGUCACAUUAGGGAUAUGACAGAAAGAACCAAUCACCAUACUUGAUGAUCAUGAGUAAACGUGCCUGCACUUGUUUUCCUCAAGUUCCGCAAAGAUGGUUCAUCCGAAUUUAAUUUGAAACACCUCGAUAGAAGGGGUUUCCAUAGCAUUAGAACAAAACCUGAUAGGCUAAGCUUCUUUGAAAGGGGGAGAGAGUAGAAAAUUCCCCCGCACCAAGGAUCACUCAUUGCACAAACUCCUAUAAAAGUCUAGGUUUUGAAAAAAAAACACUAAUGCAUUAUGACACAACCAGAUUUCCCGUAGGGCGAAAACAAAAACAAUGAACCAGAGCAUCAGUAGAUGGUGGGCUCACUCAUUUGAAGUAACAUUAUCUUGAAGCCAUUCCUUCCAAUUCCUUGGUUGAAAAGGCCUAAUCUAACAGUGAGAAUAAACAAAAUUUCAUAAUUGUUGGACAGCAUGACAUUCCUAAUUCAUUUUCCAUCGUAAGUUUUGAAUUUGUGUGCGUGUGGUUUUUCUUUGUAAUUGAUAGAUUUAGGGCUAAUUUAACUUGAAAACUGUGGUAAAAAAUUACUUUUGAAAACUUUGAUUUAAAAUUUAAAUAUUUAACAUUAUUGCUUUAGAGAAAAUAAAAUGUUUAUUUUAAACGUGAUGUUGUAAAGUAAAAUAUAUACAUUUAAAUGAUACUAAAUUUUAUCAUAUCCACAAUGAAAGUGAAAAUAAAUGUAUGUAGCAAAUUAAAAAAAUAAAAAAUAAAAAUCAUAAUGUUUUGGAUUCAAAUCCCAUUAUAUGCAAAAAUUCUUUUUCUAGAUUUUAUAUGAAAAGAUAAAAUUACUCUCAAGAUAAUAUCUAUUACUCAUUAAAGAUGGGGGACUUUUGGUAAAUUCAUUACUGAGUUGGUGACCUAGUUGAGAGUGACACCAACUCAGUAAAGCACUCAAAUAUACUAAUAUAUAAAUGAUAAUAAAAAAAUAUCUUUGGUUGAAAUGAUUUAAUCUUAAAAAAACUACAAAUCACAAUGUUAUGGGUUCGAAUUCAUUAUGCUGAAGUACUUUAACUUUUCUAGAUUUUAUAUGAGAAGAAAAUUAUCUGAAGAUAAUAUCUUUCACUUAUUGAAAAUGAGGGAAUUUUGGUAAAUUCUUGAGAGUUAAUGACUAUGUUGAGGGUGACACUAAUUCAAUAAAAAUCUUAAAUAUGGUAAUAGAUUUAAAUUUAUUAAUAUUAUGAUAUUUUAAUAAACUACUAAAAAAUAUUUUAUUACAAUUUAUUAUUAUUUUGAAAUAUGAAAUAUUAUUUUUAAAUAUUUUAAAGUAAUUAAUAUAAAUUAUUUAUAAAAUUUAUUUGAAUAUAUAAAUUACAUUUUAAUAUUUAAAAUAUAACAAUUUCAAAUUAAAAUAUAUCAUGUUAUAUACUUUGAAAUAACUUUCAAUAGAAAAAUAUAAAUAUCAUAUAUUUUGAAAAAUGUUGCCUUCAACUUUAUGUUGGUUUUAAAAAAACAAACUUAUGAAUUAGUUUUUUAAUGAAUAAAAUAUUUUUUUAUGUUAUGACAAUUAUAUGAAAAUUCUAAUUUAACUUUUUUUUCUUUAAAAAAAUUGAGAUUGUUAAACAAUUGUAGCCUUUCUAAAGUUUUAUAAACAAAUCACGAGGUUAUAUAUAAAAUGAUAAAAGUUUUUUCUACCUUUAUUAAUGGUUGAAGGCAAUUUUUAUUUUGGUUAUCGAGUAGCUUUAAAAUUUGUUGUCACUAUUUACCCUUUUGAUGGACCUACAAAACGGAGAAAAUUAAUCAAUUGGAGUCACCGAGCUCGCUCCAGUUAAAAUAUCUUUUUGAGAAACCAAAAAAAGAUAAUAUAUAUAUAAACAAAGAAAUGAUUAUAUGCAAAAGGGAUAAUAUAAUUUUUGGUCCUUAAAUUUAGUAAUUAAGUCUAUUUUGGUACUUAUACUUUCUUUAUCUAAUUUAGUAUCUGAACUUGGCAAUUAGAUUCAUUUUAGUCUUAAAACUUAAGAAAUAUAAAAGCUUGAUGACGUAACACUUUGAGAUUGUGUUACAUCAUCAAUUGAAAAUUAAAAAAAAUGUAUAAAUUUUUAGGUGGUAAUGUGGUACAAUCUUAGAGUGUCAAAUAGAGUGUUCUAAUAUUCAGGCCAGUGGUUGAACCAAUUAGAUCACUGGUUUCCAAUUCAAUCGGUUUGAUUGGUUCAAUUGUUAAACCAAGAAUAAUUAUAUAAUAUUUAACAGGUACAACUUAUUCAACUAUUGGAUUUUGUCUUGGUUUUCGAUUUUUAUUGAUUUUGAGUAGCUUCUGAUUCAAUUGAUUUUUACUGCUAAGUUUAAAAGUCAAAAAUUAUAUUACCCCUAAAUAAAAGUAUAUAAAAUUUACAAAAAAAUGAUAUAUUCUUAAGUACACUCAAACUCAUAUUCUUCUAUAUAGUUGAAUAAUAAUGAUACUAAUAUCGUUUUUUAAAGAUGAUUAUAUAAUUUAAAUGAAUUAAAGUUUAGAUAAUUGAAUUUGUAUUUUGUAAAGAAACAAGGGAGAAGUUUAGUCAAAAGAUUUUUGUCUAUAUGCAGCAUAAUUUCCACACGAAUUUGAGGUUGAAAGCAAAAAUUUCAAGUCCACCCACCCUUACAUUUGAUGAUGAAUAAAGUGAUGUGUCAUUAUUUCUUCUGCAAUUUUGCUACCACCACUUUUCUCAAAAAGAUUUUAUUGUCCAAACCAAAAAAAAAUAAAAAAUAAAAAUUGUCAAUAAUUUUGUUUGUUUCCAGCUUUGAGUAUUCGGUGGAAUUGAAAGAUGGGGGAUAAAUAAUUGAUUUCUUUUGUAAGAAAGAUGAACAAGUUAUAUCAAUCGUUUGACAUCUUAUAAAGUUGAUUUUUCUUUACAAAAAGUAUUUUCUUUUACCAUUAUAAAUCUUUUUAAAAAUGAAACAUGAAACAUUUUACACAAAUUGUAUAAUUCUGACUAUUUUCUCCGAAUUUAGAGUUAAGAAAUUAAAAAAAGAAGAGAUAUCCAUGUGCUCUCUUUCAUGGAAGAGGUUGCGAGAUAGGCCACUCAUAUCCGAUCUAUGUUUUAUUAUUUUCAUUAAUUAAAGCAUUAAAAUCCAAAACAAGGAAAACACUGUUAUCCACACCAAGGGAGGGUGUGUAUUUUCACUGUAAUCCUAUACUUUGGACAAAGCUACUUAGAAUCAAAAUCAAUCUUCUCCAAUCAAGCUUUUCAUUAUCGAAAGAUAUGCCUGUCGUAUGCAGUUUAUCAAUGAAAACAAUGGAUUUCCAAUGUCAAACAAGUUCUUUAUGCUAUUUGAACCCAAAUGUUUGUUUUAUUGGUCAUACAUAUUCAUGUUACUGAUUUACUCCUGCUGAGUUGUAAAAAAGAAAAAAAGUUAUACUAUUCUUAGUCUCUUAAGCUCCAUGUUUGAAGGCGCCAAGUUGCUUAGUUAACACACAUCUCUGGCUCUUAUGGUUGUAUAAAAAGCAUUUUAUUAUCCUAAACACAGAGAAAACCCAGAAUGUAAGCUCUUGCAAUCAUUCAUGAAAUUGAAUUACAAGGCUCAUUGUUAGCAGAAAAGCACUGUUCAAUCAUCUACAAUGCUUUUUGCACUGUUGGUCAGCACCAAAAAUUAAUGGUCACUGUCCUUUCCGGGUUUUAGCCACUGUUUCGUUUAAUGCUGCUACUACUUGUCAGUAGAUUUUAACAAAUGCAAACUUCUUAAGCUACUGCACUUUGAUAACUUCGAGCUGAACCAUUAACUCUGGUGGUAUGAAAUUGAAACCUUCUAUUGUUUUUUGAUUAGAAAUAUAUCAUUAUUGUCUUUGCAUGGAAGUGCUUUGAUUAUGCACAUGUGCAUGAAGGGAAGAAAUCAUAUCCCACGAGCUGCAAACCAAAAAAAAAAAAAAAACCAUGAUUGAUUCAACCUAACCUUAGACUGGUCAUGGGAAACCCACAAUUGGACAUGGAAUGUCUUUUAAAAAACACCCUCCCUUCUUCCCCUGCAUCAUUAGGCCUUACAGUUAGUGGGAUUCUAAAGGAAGACCGUUAAAAAAGGUUAAUUCAUUCACUUUCCACCAAAAUAACAGAUAAAAUUUGAAAUAAUUAUGUGCCCUUGAAUCAUACAAGGGCGGGGAAUCCAUUUCCCUUGGACCCUUCUUUUUCUUCUUUUGCCUUUGGAGAAAGCUGAGAUUUACAAAAAAAAGGGGUACUGGCAAUGAUGGUGUUAUGGAUAUGGAGAACUUAAGGGUGUUUUGAGAUGAGAGAUAUUAUGGUCAAAGGCCCCAAAGCUGAAGACCAGCUUUGCAUUAUUGGGACAAAUACUGAGCUGUUUUUGUACUUAAAGAAGACCAGUAAAAGGUGAAUCUAAUUAUGACUAUAUGGUCAUCAGUUCACCCCCCAAUAUUGCAAAAAUCAUUUCAUAGACUUCAAUCAUAUUGUCUUUAAAGUAUUUUCCUUCAAUCAAUUUUCAUUUCAAGAUACUAAGAAAGGUUAAAGAGGAUAUGAUUUAAGUUUAAAACUUUGUUCUUUUUUCACAACAGUUAUCACAUAAACCUCCAUUAAGUUCUUAAUUGCUUUCACCAAGGGAAAAAAACUCACAAAAGAACAAACAGCCUUUUUUUCCUGAUUUUUUUUCAUGCAAAAAAAAAAUGGCUACUAUACCAAAACGUCUAAUCUAAGCAUCUGUCCAGGCAGUAAAUGCUGGCACAGUUGGCACAGCGAGUGCAGGCCUUAGCUGAGCUGAAGGAAUCCAAGAAUUCAGAGAGUUUGUUGAACUAGUGAACAACUUGGUCGGUG
rnacentral:lncRNA from 1 species